AACGAACGCUGGCGGCAGGCCUAACACAUGCAAGUCGAACGUGAAGCUGGAGCUUGCUCCAGUGGAAAGUGGCAGACGGGUGAGUAACGCGUGGGAAUCUACCCAAUGGUACGGAAUAACUCAGGGAAACUUGUGCUAAUACCGUAUGAGCCCUUCGGGGGAAAGAUUUAUCGCCAUUGGAUGAGCCCGCGUUAGAUUAGUUUGUUGGUGGGGUAAUGGCCCACCAAGACUACGAUCUAUAGCUGGUCUGAGAGGAUGAUCAGCCACACUGGGACUGAGACACGGCCCAGACUCCUACGGGAGGCAGCAGUGAGGAAUAUUGCACAAUGGGCGCAAGCCUGAUGCAGCCAUGCCGCGUGAGUGAAGAAGGCCUUAGGGUUGUAAAACUCUUUCACCGGUGAAGAUAAUGACGGUAGCCGGAGAAGAAGCCCCGGCUAACUCCGUG
rnacentral:rRNA from 1 species